rnacentral:misc_RNA from 1 species
GUAGGUGAACCUGCGGAAGGAUCAUUAUCGAGUUAGGGUCCUCUGGGCCCAUCUCCAACCCUUGCCUACCACAUUGCUCCGGCAUCUGCGCCAGAGUGAUUUUUAAAAAUUUCUUUUUAAAUUCUUCAACCAUGACGUCCUACGGGAGAAUAUCAAUGAAUUAAAACUUUCAACAACGGAUCUCUUGGUUCUGGCAUCGAUGAAGAACGCAGCAUCUGACUGACUGGAAGCUUGUCUAUCUCGUAUGCCG